UACAGAGGUCUCAAGCGUUGUUCGGAUUUAUUGGGCGUAAAGAGCUCGUAGGCGGCUUGUCGCGUCGUUCGUGAAAACCCGGGGCUCAACUCCGGGCUUGCGGGCGAUACGGGCAGGCUAGAGUUCGGUAGGGGAGACUGGAAUUCCUGGUGUAGCGGUGAAAUGCGCAGAUAUUGGGAGGAACACCAGUGGCGAAGGCGACUGACUGGACCGGUACUGACGCUGAGGCGCGAAAGCGUGGGGAGCAAACGGG
rnacentral:rRNA from 1 species